rnacentral:ncRNA from 1 species
UUUAGAAUAUAAAACUUAAUUUUUAUAAAGAGUCCUAAAUAAUAAAACUGAACGUUGAGGUCCGUGUUGUAGUUUUAGUUUUUCUGUAGAUCUACAUGUAAGUUUGAGCUAGUAAUUUAGCUGAAUAAAAUAGAAUUAGAGAUUCUCAGUAGAAAAUUUUGGAAAUAUAUAAAAAUUUUAUCCAGGUAACAGAAAAGGGGCGGAAAAUGGCGUGCCAGCAGCCGCGGUUAUACUUCAGCCUCAAGCUAAAAUUUUUAGACAAAAUUGUGCUUUAAGUUUUAUAACCAGAUUUUGUUUGAAUUGUAGAGUAGAAUCUAAAUUUGAAGUAUUGAUGGAAACAAAAAGCAUAAAAUUUAUUUUAGGGACCAGGAUUAGAUACCCUGUUACUUUUAACUAAAAGAUUUUGGAAUAAUAGUAUUAAUGAAAUUUAACGGAUUUGGCGGCAAGAUAGCCCCUUAGAGGAACCUGCCCUGUAAACGAUGAACCACGAGGGACUCUACUUUUUUUGGUAAUUCAGUUUGUAUAUCGCUGUUGUCAGUUAGAUUCUUGAGAAUAUUUUCGAACAUGAUAAAGUCAUUGACUUCAAGUAAAGGUGCAGCUUAUAGAAAAGAUAGAGGUGGGUUACAUUUAUAAGAUUAAAACGGAUAAGAUAAAUGAAAUAUUCUUUGAAGGUGGAUUUAACUGUAAAACUUAAAUAAGUUUGGUGAGAGCUCUAUCUUGUGUACACACCGCCCGUCGCUCUCUUUUUUAAAACGAGAUAAGUCGUAACAAGGUAAGUGUAAUGGAAAUUGUACUUGA